UACGUAGGGGGCAAGCGUUGUCCGGAAUUAUUGGGCGUAAAGAGCGUGUAGGCGGUCCGGUAAGUCAGCUGUGAAAGUCAAGGGCUCAACCCUUGAAUGCCGGUUGAUACUGUCGGGCUAGAGUCCGGAAGAGGCGAGUGGAAUUCCCGGUGUAGCGGUGAAAUGCGCAGAUAUCAGGAGGAACACCGGUGGCGAAGGCGGGACUCUGGGCCGAUACUGACGCUGAGGAGCGAAAGCGUGGGGAGCGAACAGG
rnacentral:rRNA from 1 species